rnacentral:rRNA from 1 species
GUCCGCACUGUAAACGAUGAUUACUCGCUGCUAGAGGGCAACUUUUAGUGGCUUAGCGAAAGCGAUAAGUAAUCCACCUGGGGAGUACGCCGGCAACGGUGAAACUCAAAGGAAUUGACGGGGCCCGCACAAGCGGAGGAGCAUGUGGUUUAAUUCGAUGAUACGCGAGGAACCUUACCAGGGCUUGAAAGUUAGGGAAUGGAUCUGAAAGGAUUCAGUCAGCAAUGACCCGAAACUAGGUGCUGCAUGGCUGUCGU